rnacentral:lncRNA from 1 species
GUUGUAUAUUAUAAAUGAAAGAGGGAAGGAAAAUUGGUUGAUUAGUAUCGAUGUGGUACUUGAGGAUGGAAAUUAGUGGGAGUAGAAUAGAAAGUGAGGAAGGAACAGAGACAGAGACAUAAAUGAAUUGUUCUCCAUUUGGUGGGAUAUCGGCAAUGGGCAGAAGAGGCCGAAAGGUUUUCCUAGUUGUUGACCUAACGCAGAAAAGGCCAAAGUCGAAGGUGGCCCGCACGUUAUCGACGCAGAAACUUUGAUUUAUGUUAUUAAAAAUGAGGGAAUAAAAAAGAAGAGAAAAACAAAGAAGAGAGAGAGUAGCCAAAAAGAAACAAAUGGGCAAAUGGGGCAUUGAAUGCAGAGUGAGAAAGAGAGACGAAAAAAGAGGAAAAGGAAAAGGAAGCAGAGGAAAGAAACAAGGAAGUAGUAAACAACACGGCAAAUAUGUUUGGAAUAAUGUGUGUGUGUGUGGCACAUGCUUAUCCACCGCUUCUAUGUUAGGACAACAGAUACAGCCAAAGACUUAAAUGCACAACGCUAUUCUCUCUCUUUUCUUUUUUCUUUUUUUUUUUAUUAUUAUUAUUAAAUAAACAUCAUCUUAUUUAUAUAUAAACAAUGAUUUUACCUCUUUAGACAUGUAUCCAUCUCAGCGUGUGUUGUUCCCACUCUUCUCCCCUAAUGGAAAUAAAUCUUCUUUCUAAAAUAGAAUGAAUAUUUCUGAGCAGUAAAAUAGCCAAAAUGCUUACCUUUUCUUCUUUGAGGUGGAACACAAGUACUUUUUCUCUCCCCUACUCGCAUCUUUGUCUACUAUACUUUUCAUACUUAAUGCUUUUCUCUCUUUUACUCUUUCAAAUCUACUUACUCACAUAAUUGCCUAACCAUUUCCCAUUUCCCAUUUCCUUCCUCUUUUAUCACUAAACUAUUUCCUCAUUUUCUUAACUUACUUU